rnacentral:lncRNA from 1 species
UUAAAACCCUUUUCAUCUCCAAUUAAAAGCCUACUCUGCAGCAGCAAUAGACGCAAAAUUGCUUCAUCUUCCUUUUUUUCUUUAUUGUUUUAAAACAACAGAGGGAAGAAAGAGGGGUCUGCUAGGCCUUCUUUAAAGCCCUAACUACCGCCACGCCACCGCCGUUCAAGCUUCGCCGCCGACUCCGAUUCAGGUAAGUUUCGCCCUUUUCUUUUUGCUUUUUCUUUUGCACCAAAAACAGAGAAGCAAAGAAAAAAAAAGAAAAAAAAAUAAAAUAAAUAAAACACAAAGAAAAUUACCUUCAAAAAUUGUUUUUGAUUAUUUGUUUGUAUUUCAGUAUUUUUCCAAUACAAGAUUUUUCUCUUUUUAGUACAAAAUUUUUCUCCCCCCUCCAAAAACAGAAAAUCAUUGGCCUUUAUAUAGCCCUCCUUCAAUCCUUUUACAACUGUUUUGCUGUGUGUAUAUCUUAGUAGUGUUGUCUGUGGCUUGCAGAUGUGUGAGCGUUGUGCGAGUGGACGUGCCAGCGAAGAUGUGGGACAGUUUGGGAGGCUGCCGAACGUGGGGCGUGCACGGCACUGGAGGUUACUGCGACGUGGGACAAUGGUGGCGUCGAUCUGCUGCUGACUGUUAGUGUUUCUGCUGUUUGUUUUCUUGGUGUAAGGGGCUUAGGUUUAGGGCCUAGUGUAUUGGGCCAAGGGUAUUUGGGCAAUGUUAUGAUUUUGGGUUGGUCUUAUUUUGAAUGGGCCGGGCAAAAAUGGGCUAUUACAAUAAUCAUAUGAAAAUAUUACCUCAUCUAUUUUUAUAAAAAUGUAAAAAUUGAAUACUUGCACAUCCAUACAUAAUAACACUUAUAAUAGAAUGAUUUUAUUAUGAAAGCAUGCUUCUCAAUUUUAAUAAUCAAUACUAAAUAGUAACAUUAUAAUAUCAAUAAACAUAUUUAAAUAAUAAUCUUAAAAAAAAAAGUUAAAAUGACCCAACAAACAAAAGACUAGGCUGGUCUACUUCUUGGCCCAGUGGCCUGUUGCUUCUUUUUGGCCCAGUUGAUUGCUCCCAUCGGGGAAUGGGUUGUUUCUGCUUGGUGCCCCACUUGUUUCUUAAAUUUAGUUCAUUUUUUUUCUUCACCUUAUCAAACAAAAAACCUAAUUCUCUCUAAACCUACCUUUUUGCCACCGCUCUUCCUCCGUUGACGGUGCUCAUCGGUAGAAAUGGUCAUCGGAAUAAUUAUUUUUUUCUAAAAUAUUAUAUAUAUUGUUUUGAUUUUUAAAAAAAAAUUCAACUAUUUGAUGUUUUUCACAUUUAUGAUGUGAUUAAAUUGCCCCAUUUAAGUUGAAAGUGGCUAAAUUAUUCAUAAUCUAUUAGUUUAUUAAGGGAAAUAGUUAAAGGUCUUUUUCUUUUUUUAAUUUCUAAUACCAGAUCCACCGAAUUACUUCAUUUCCUAUUAAUUACUUCUAGCCCUAUAAUAUAAACACAUUUUAAAAUUGCAUUCCUUAAAUUCCGAUAUUAGUUUAAUAUAUCCUUUUAAACAAUAACUAAAUUUAUUGUGGUGAUGAUGUUUUUGUUUUUUCAUAUUUGUUAAUAAUCUUUCGAAAAAUUGGAGCAAUUUAAUCCAUGUCAAUUUAAAAAAUGACCAACUAAGAACAAUUAGUCACAACAUUAAUAAAAAGGAAAAAAAUUCAUUGUCCGAUAUUAGUUAGAGCAUGGUCGCAACAAUUUAUUUAAUCUUAUUUUCUUUUGUUUAUUUUACUGCAAUUUCAACUUUUAUAUAUUUCUGUUAUUUUUAUUUUUAAUCAGAUUAAACCCUCCUUUUUAGUUUUCGCACAGGGUUGGUAUAGGGUGAAAUCGGGUUAUAUGCUUGAUUUCUUUGUUGAUGGUCCUUGGUUGAAAUUUUGGAAUUGUCAUAUUUCAUUGAAAGUCAAACACUUCAUUCGGAGAUGUUUGAAAGGUUUCGUGCCUUGCAAUACUUAGUAGAGAGGGGAGUGCAAUUGGACUUGAAUUGUCAAAGGUGUGGCCUUGUUGAAAGUCUCGACCACGUCUUGAUUGAGUGCCUUUGAGCGAAACAUGUUUGACAGUACACUGGCAUUGAUACAGUUGGUCUAACAGUCACGAACUUACUUAUUAAUCUCCUUGACCGUAUGGAGACUACUUGUUUAUUAGUUUAGAGUCUAUGGUGGUUUCGAACCAUAAAGAUUACUCUACCGCUCAUAUUCAUUCUUUUGCUUUGAAGUAGGUGCUGGCAAAAUCUAAAUUGGAAAGAUCUUUUGGUCCUAUCAACUUAACUCCGGACACAGUAAAGUGGACUUUGCCCGUUGUUAAUGGGAUGAAAUGCUGUACCGGUGCAGUAGUAGGACGCUCAAGGACAAAUUGGGGAUACAGAGCUGUUCUUCAACGAUAAGGGCGAGUUCAUUAAAGGCUUGUUGAGCACUUGACAAUGGUUGUAAAUCCUGAACUUGCUCAAGCUUUACAGUUGCUCAUUAACGAUUGUUUUUAUCUUAAGAAUCAUCUCAGUAAUGCGUCUUUCAUGGACUCGUACUGAUGCUAAUAAAAUCGCUUACGCUUUGGCAAAGGUAGCUUUUGUCUUAUGAGAACUUGUAAAUUUGGGACUUUAUUCCUUCGUUUUUAAUUGAUAUUCUAAAUGUUGAUUGCCUAGACGGAGGUUUUGAACCUUAGGUGUGAGCGUAUAGAAAGGGCUUAUUGGUUUGAGCUAAUCAGUAAAGCCGGCAAAACAUGCCUGAGCUUGAAAGUCUACUUGUGUUGAUUAGAAC